rnacentral:rRNA from 1 species
UACGUAGGGUGCAAGCGUUGUCCGGAAUUAUUGGGCGUAAAGGGUGCGUAGGCGGUUCCGCAAGUCCUGUGUGAAAUCUUCGGGCUCAACUCGAAGUCUGCACGGGAAACUGCGGGGCUUGAGUGUGGGAGAGGUGAGUGGAAUUCCCGGUGUAGCGGUGAAAUGCGCAGAUAUCAGGAGGAACACCGGUGGCGAAGGCGGGUCUCUGGGCAGUAACUGACGCUGAGGAGCGAAAGCGUGGGGAGCGAACAGG